rnacentral:rRNA from 1 species
UACAUAGGUCUCAAGCGUUGUUCGGAUUCAUUGGGCGUAAAGGGCGCGUAGGCGGCGGGGUAAGUCGGGUGUGAAAUCUCAGAGCUCAACUCUGAAAUGGCACUUGAUACUGCUCUGCUAGAGGACUGGAGAGGAGAUUGGAAUUCACGGUGUAGCAGUGAAAUGCGUAGAUAUCGUGAGGAAGACCGGUGGCGAAGGCGGAUCUCUGGACAGUUCCUGACGCUGAGGCGCGAAGGCCAGGGGAGCAAACGGG